GACGAACGCUGGCGGCGUGCCUAAUACAUGCAAGUAGAACGCUGAAGAGAGGAGCUUGCUCUUCUUGGAUGAGUUGCGAACGGGUGAGUAACGCGUAGGUAACCUGCCUGGUAGCGGGGGAUAACUAUUGGAAACGAUAGCUAAUACCGCAUGACAUUGAUUAUCGCAUGAUAAUUGAUUGAAAGAUGCAAUUGCAUCACUACCAGAUGGACCUGCGUUGUAUUAGCUAGUUGGUGAGGUAACGGCUCACCAAGGCGACGAUACAUAGCCGACCUGAGAGGGUGAUCGGCCACACUGGGACUGAGACGCGGCCCAGACUCCUACGGGAGGCAGCAGUAGGGAAUCUUCGGCAAUGGGGGGAACCCUGACCGAGCAACGCCGCGUGAGUGAAGAAGGUUUUCGGAUCGUAAAGCUCUGUUGUAAGAGAAGAACGGGUGUGAGAGUGGA
rnacentral:rRNA from 1 species